UGACCAUUUUGUAUAUUUAGGAAGAUUCCUGUACAAAAUAUAUAGCCAUGCGGACAGCUGGGUCAAAUGCCGA
rnacentral:sRNA from 1 species